GACAGAGGGUGCAAACGUUUGUUCGGAAUUACUGGGCGUAAAGCGCGUGUAGGCGGCCAUCUAAGUCGGGCGUGAAAUCCCACGGCUCAACCGUGGAAGUGCACUCGAAACUGGAUGGCUAGAGUCCUGGAGAGGAAGGUGGAAUGCUUGGUGUAGAGGUGAAAUUCGUAGAUAUCAAGCGGAACACCGGUGGCGAAGGCGGCCUUCUGGACAGUGACGUGACGGCUGAGA
rnacentral:rRNA from 1 species